UGUGGGGGUCCCACGGUGCCAGCUCCCACCAUUCCGGUGCAGUGGGAAUGCUCCCAGCAUCCUUCAGGGACAUGCAAAGCCCUGCUUCAACCAAGGAGGUACCGUGCCUUGUUCCUGGCAAAAUUCUCCUCUUUCCACUGCAUGGGUCUUGGAGGCGUUUUUGUUCCUGCUUUGCAUGGAUGGAGAUUGGAGAGACGUGAGAGGAAGGUGCUCCUUUUGUGCCUGAGGAGCAUCCCCUUGGACCAGGAUAACGGCAGAAACAUCCAUAGCAAGGGCAAAUCCAUGCAGGAGCCAGGCAGCUUCCCUGAGCAUCCCAUCAGUGCAGGCAGCAGGACCCCAGCCCUGCCACAGGACCUCAAACCACACGGACCCCAUCACAUUUCCAUUUUGAAACCUCAGCUGUAUUCAAAGAGUCUUUGGCAUUAAUAUUAAUAUUAUUUAUUAUAAUAAAGAACAGUCAAGCA